GCAUGUUUGCCUUCUCAACAAAGAAAACCUCGUGCCUCAGCCACUUCCUGCCUGACUCAUUGUUCCUAUCAAGCCCAGGCAGCACCCACUCUUCCAAGGAACAGGGUCAUGGCUGUGUGUCUCUUCAGGAAGUGGCUGCUCUACAGAUGGCCACAGGCUUCCUGCUUCAGUCAAGGCUUUUGAAUCACACUACUCCCUGUCUGUGGUUUUGAAUGUUUUUGUUUGUUUGCUGGGGAGGAAUGAAUAACUGACCUUGAAUGGGGUUGUAGGGGGGAAGGUAGACUGUGUGACACAGAGCCACGCUGGAUUCAUGGUCUCAGCCUGAAUCGGGUUGUACUUUGAAGGACAGCAGAUUUCAGGAGGCUGAAACUACGGAGACAAACGGUUUAUAAAUUCUUAUUUUCCCCCAUCACUUUGGCCAGCACUGGGCUGCCCUUCUUAAGCCAGAGAGAACAGAGUUAGAUUAUAUUGCUACAACAGUAAAAUCUGUGAUAGAAGGAUGUCUACAGAACUGGGAGGCCUGGCCUCACAUUUAAGUCUUCUAACCUCUUCCUUUUUAACACUGCUUGAAAUGCCAUGACUGGAUUCAGUGUGCUCGGAAGCUCCGUAAAAUCACGUCUCUGCGCGAACAUGUAGGAAGGAUGCCUAUCACAUCACAACCCACUGGGCUGGUGAGAGCGCUCUUGGCUCCACCCCCUACAGUUCAGUGAGAGUGGAGAUGGUCCUCUGAAAAAAGAAAAAGCUAACCCAGGCAUCUCUCACAUUGACAGCUGGAGGAAAUCUUCGUGGUGUGCCAGGGACCAGGCUGGACCCGCCUUCUGCGACACAAGACCCACUGACAUAAAUCAGCCUUCACAUUCACGUGGCUUUUGGAGAUCAAAGUUCAAAGCUAAUCUAGGAGGUUCAACAGUCCUUCGGUCUCAUACUCAUCAGGUGCCAUGCUUCACUGGACAAGAAAGUAAUCUGUCGUGAACACUACUAUCGCUGUCUUUUCUUGGGGACCUAUGAGGUGGUAGAAUUCAGAUUUUUUUUUUAACUUGCAAAUCUGUGUGUGCAUGUGUAUGUGUGCAUGCAUGUGUUCGUGGAGGGGGGUAUGUGUGUGACUGUGAGUGCAUGUGAAAGCCAGAAGACCUUGGGUAUCAUUCACAAUUUCUUGGGGUUUUUCUUUUCCCUUUGAGACAAGACUUCUCAUUGGCCUAGAACUUACAAAUAGUCUGGGAUGGCCCCACAGCAAACCUCAGAUAGCCACAAAUGCAUUGCACUGUGUUAUAGAAGGACAUUUUUCAAACAAGUAUGCACGAGGAACAGCAUAGGCCAUAUCCCCUCCCCCUCCCAUUAGUCUCUUCUAAGAAACGUAACUGUAAAGACAGAUGUCUCAGCAGUUAAAAGCAGGCACUGCUCUUGCAGAAGACUGGAGUCUAUGUCCCAGCACCACAUAAGGCAGCUCACAGAUCCCUGUAACUCUGGUUCGGAGGAUCUAAUGUCCACUUGAGCCUCCACAGGUACCUGACUUAUGUGUGCAACUCCCCACCCCACCCCAGCUGCUACACACACACACACACACACACUACCACCACCACCACCACCAUCAUCACCAUCAUCAUCAUCAUCAAAACAAAAGUAAUAAAUCUGGACUGGAGAGAUGGCUCGGUGGUUAAGAAGAUUGACUGCUCUUCCAGAGGUCCUGAGUUCAAUUCCCAGCAACCACAUGGUAGCUCACAACCAUCUGUAAUGAGAUCCAAUGCCCUCUUUUGGUGUGUCUGAAGAAAGCUACAAUGUAUGGAUAUAAAUAAAAUAAAUAAAUCUUUUAAAAAAAAGUGAUAAAUCUGUAAAAACAAAUAGUGCCUGAAUUAAACAUGUCGUUAUAUGUAGUGAGGGUGAGGGAUCAUGUGUUUCCCUAGUUACAUGCUUGAUAGCAUGUUCAGUGAUGGAGACAUGGGUAAAGUGUGCCUCAUCUUUCCUCACUUCAACUCUGAUCUUCGUGUCUCCCACUGCAGAGCUGGAUAGAAGGAGAAGACUAUCGGAGACAUGAACUGUCUUACUGACCAAUCCCGUACGUCAACAUGAAAACACCGUCUAUGGAAUUCUCUUAUCCAGACAACCCCUCCUGGGAAAAUGGAAUUAACAUCAAAAUACAAAUAGCACCAGGACCAUCCAUCCACAACAGAGAGGACCAUCUUUUGCCUUCUUCAUUCAACCUGUGUGCCAGUCUAGAUGUCGUGGCAGUGAGGGAAGCCAGAGGAAAUCAGUACUCACUGACACAAGCAGAUCUUGCUGUUUUAAGAUCCCCAAUGU